UUUUUAUGAGAGUUUGAUCCUGGCUCAGGACGAACGCUGGCGGCGUGCCUAAUACAUGCAAGUCGAACGCUUCUUUUUCCACCGGAGCUUGCUCCACCGGAAAAAGAGGAGUGGCGAACGGGUGAGUAACACGUGGGUAACCUGCCCAUCAGAAGGGGAUAACACUUGGAAACAGGUGCUAAUAACGUAUAACAAUCG
rnacentral:rRNA from 1 species